GAUCUGACCUGGACGACAGGCUUCCUCAUGAAGCAAGGAGCUGCGGCGACGAUUGCGUUCCUGAGGCAGUACGUGGCGGAGAACGACCUGUGACGGGGCUGAAUACACAGAACGACAGGAAACAACUGGAUAUAACAAUAAUUUAUGUUAGCCUGGGUACCAAAUGGAUAGUAGUUCGCGCCGACGUUUAUUAUACACUAUAUACAACCUCUUCUCACUCCGCCGUGUAUUAUACACAAUAUACAGGACUAUUCAUAACAGAAAAUUAGCUUAUAGAAUUGUACGGUUUGUAUACGUACUAGUCCAUGUGUCAUAGGGGUUUUCUUUUACACAACCAGUUUUUUCUCACCUGCCAACGUUUCGAUGUCAGACAUCUUCCUCAGAGCUUCUAACUGGAGUUCUACUUCUCGCCGCUAUGUGUGGCCAAUGUAGGUGGCGCUUUUACGACGAGAACACUAUCCCAAACGUACACUAUGUACGGUUCUCUGCUUUUCCAGAAGCGAACAUAUAUGGGAGCUAACUACUACCCGGAUGUUGCUCAAGCAAGAUCUAUGUACAAUUCUUACUUGGUACAAACAACAGCCGAAGUUACGGUGACCUCAGGGCAAUGAAUCUCCAAGUAGAUCAUACGGUGGCAUAAAAUGAUAUCAUUAAGCUGGCCAAAGAGUGUGGCUAACCAAGAAGUGUCCAAUUGGUCACUCCUUAACCAGUUUAUGAUCUUACCCCACAGGAGGAUCUGCUUGGAGAUUGCAGGGCAAUACUGAUUGGUUCUGCUAGGUGUCGCUGCUAACAAUGCGGUCCCAAACGCAAAGUAGUGUCAUACAUACAUGCGGCCCCAAACGCGAUGUAGUGUUACAUACAUGUAUACAAGAAUGAUACAGUAGAAGCCGCUUAAUUGCACGGCCUAUUUACCAGUGAAUUUGGUGCAAUAAUCCGGCUGGUGCAAUAAUGCGAAGUUAUCCAGCUAGACCGCACCGAUUUGGGAUUCUGGGAUUCCGUGCAGUUAACAGAAGUGUGCGUUAAUCCGAUGUGCAAUUAACUGGCUUCCACUGUAAUCAUCAUCGUUCAUUGAAACGUCUGCUGUUGAUAUUGUACAUAGGUCCUAGUUCUGAAUAAAGGACUUGUUUAUCCUGUGGGUUUCCAAUCUUUAAUGAAAGAAACAACGAACGAUGUCUCAAUGUCGUCACUGGUCGUCAUGGAGAUACCUGUGUUUUGUACCAUGCUUCGAUUGCGGGGGCUUUUAGAACUCAGAGUUAGGACAAAUAGUAUGCUAGUUACGCAAUAAACGAUCUUAUAACCCUUA